CAACUUUCAACAACGGAUCUCUUGGCUCUCGCAUCGAUGAAGAACGCAGCGAAAUGCGAUAAGUAAUGUGAAUUGCAGAAUUCAGUGAAUCAUCGAAUCUUUGAACGCACCUUGGCCCCCUUGGUAUUCCGAGGCGAUGCCUGUUUGAGUGUCAUUAA
rnacentral:rRNA from 1 species